UACGUAGGGGGCAAGCGUUGUCCGGAUUUAUUGGGCGUAACGGGUUCGCAGGUGGUCCUUUAAGUCAGAUGUGAAAGAUCACAGCUCAACUGUGGUAAGCAUUUGAAACUGAAGGACUUGAGUUAAGGAGAGGAAAGUGGAAUUCCUAGUGGAGCGGUGAAAUGCGUAGAUAGGAGGAGGAAGACCAGUGGCGAAGGCGACUUUCUGGACUUAUACUGACACUGAGGAACGAAAGCGUGGGGAGCAAACAGG
rnacentral:rRNA from 1 species